rnacentral:ribozyme from 1 species
CCUCAGCUAUGAGCUAGUACCUUGACGUGGUGCUGAGGCUUAGUACUUGAAGCAUGGCUCACUGCGGUGACGCUUGUUUCGAGGAAGCCAAAACUAGC